GAAUUUUUGAUUAACGCUUGUGAACGUACCGUUUCAGGGUCAUCGAGACAGACUUUGAAUCGGUUCUAACGCAAGCCACUUGGAAG
rnacentral:ncRNA from 1 species